rnacentral:lncRNA from 1 species
GGUUGCCAGCACUUCAGUUAGACUUGACACAGAACAGCUGGAUUUCUAGCUUCCCUUUAAACCCGGCUGCACUGGGCCUGUGUGGCACGUCCUGGUCCCCCCGAGCUCCAUCCCUUCUGGCUUACAUCCACCUUGUCCCUGACAAAAGGGUGAGAAAACCACUUCUCUGUAAUGAACUGAAACGCUGCCUAAGUCCGAAUGGGAAGUUGUCGCUCUGUAGCAGUGAUGGUCUGUAGCUGAGGCUGAACCGUGUACGUGCUGAAGGACAGUCAUGUAAACAGUUAACAGGAAGAACGAGGACUUAAUGAGAAUGUUGGCUCUCCUUGCAGCGGACAAGAAGGACAUUUGCUAAUGAAGACUGUGGAAGGUAUUUGUUAACCAAAGAUUAGAUAUGGGUAGUUGAUGGUUAUUCCCAGCUGGGCUAGAAGUUCCUGGGAAUAGCGUGACCUUGGUAUUAGCCCCUCUCAGAUUCACUGGAGAAUGACGCAGAGCCCUGAAACAUCUCACAGGAAGGGAGAUGGCUUUGCUGGAGUUGAAGGAUAUGGAGGCACUUUUUAUAACAAAGAUUAAGGGUUGUUUCAUGGACAGUGGAAAUUAAAUGAAGUCAUCAGUGCCACUAUAAGCAUCUUAAGAAGGUUUCUUUGCUGAGUUUUUUUUAAGCAAGGAAUACUCUUGUGAGUAUUAAGUUAACCUGUCUAGAUUGAGUUGUGUUUUCUUCUGCAGUACUUCUAACUUUCUGUUUUAUAAUAUUCUUCUAGGUGAUGUGCCAAAUUAUAGAUUAUUGAAAUACCUUAUAAUAAAAUCCUCUUAAACUUUGAA